GGAUCGGAGGAUGAUCUGGCUGUGGCAUCUGUCACCCCAUUGAACUCUGGGGUUAGUUUGGCUGAACUGGGUGGCUGGGCAGGUGUCCCCUCCCCCGCUCACCGCUCCAUGUGCAUCCCUCCCCAAGCUGGGAGCUGGGUCGAAGAGGAUGACCACCCCCGACAGAGAAGAACCAUUUCCUCAGUCAAGGGUAUCUGAGCAGCUGCAUUCCCCUGCUACAACCUCUAAACAAGAGGAAGCUUUAAUGAUUAGGAUAGCUGGACUUAUUUUGGGCUGUGUGGGUCUGCUGAAAUGAUUACAAUAUUUUCUGAUUUUGAAUCAUUACUUGUUGGCUUUACAUACUU
rfam:Heterocephalus glaber contig97689, whole genome shotgun sequence.